rnacentral:rRNA from 1 species
CCUACGGGCGGCAGCAGUGGGGAAUAUUGGACAAUGGGCGCAAGCCUGAUCCAGCCAUGCCGCGUGAGUGAUGAAGGCCCUAGGGUUGUAAAGCUCUUUCGACGGGGACGAUAAUGACGGUACCCGUAGAAGAAGCCCCGGCUAACUUCGUGCCAGCAGCCGCGGUAAUACGAAGGGGGCUAGCGUUGUUCGGAAUCACUGGGCGUAAAGCGCACGUAGGCGGAUUAUUAAGUCGGGGGUGAAAUCCCGAGGCUCAACCUCGGAACUGCCUUCGAUACUGGUAAUCUUUGAGUCCGGGAGAGGUGAGUGGAACUCCGAGUGUAGAGGUGAAAUUCGUAGAUAUUCGGAAGAACACCAGUGGCGAAGGCGGCUCACUGGCCCGGUACUGACGCUGAGGCGCGAAAGCGUGGGGAGCAAACAGGAUUAGAUACCCCGGUAGUC